AAGCCAUGAUGAGGGCAUUGUUUCAACAAAGUGUUGUAUAUCUCCCAGGUCUCAUGGAAAGGUUCUCUAAAAAAUUGCAAAAAAUUAAAGAUCUUGUCACGAAGCUC